ACCCGCCGCAUACGGGUCUAAACCUAUGCACCUCCCUGUUGGACUGACCCCGGCCUGGCCGGGGUCUUUUU
rnacentral:ncRNA from 1 species